CACGUAGGGGGCAAGCGUUGUCCGGAUUUAUUGGGCGUAAAGAGCGUGUAGGCGGCUGGGUAGGUCCGCUGUGAAAACUCGAGGCUUAACCUCGAGACGUCGGUGGAAACCAUCCAGCUAGAGUCCGGAAGAGGAGAGUGGAAUUCCUGGUGUAGCGGUGAAAUGCGCAGAUAUCGGAAGGAACAUCAGUGGCGAAAGCGACUUCCUGGACCAAUACUGACGCUCAUGUGCGAAAGCGUGGGGAGCAAACAGG
rnacentral:rRNA from 1 species